UAUACUUCAGUCAUUGUAUUGCUUUGAACAUUAGCAGGUCCUGGGUCUGAAUGAGCUAACGCUUGUCCUUACAAUACCUGGCGUUACACUACAUUAAAGAUGCUCAAAGAAAUACAGCAGGUAACGGCAUAAGGUAUUAAUUUAUCCAGAAAUACCUACUUUGGAUCUGACAAACGUUUGAUAAAUGGAGAGUAAAUUGUAACUAUAUAAACUGUUCUAACACUAGCUAGUUAAGUUUUGAGCUAACUAGCUUAGCCACCUGCUAUCAUGUUAACAGUUUAAUAACCUUCAGGUGCUGCGGCUGUUGAUGCUAAUGAAACAACCAAGAAAACACACAACUGGAGGAAUUUUAGUACUACUAUGGACUGAAGGACAUACUUUUCACAGACUAAACUGCACUGUUGCAGCUGCUGGUCCCUGGUGUGAAAGGAUGAACAUGGAAGAUCUCCAGCUUGGUAUGUAAACAGACAUGCACACCUAAACAGAUACACAGGUUCCAUCUACUUUAUAUGACUUUGUACUGCCACAGUCCAUUCAGAUUUGAAGGAUGGACGUGGUAUGGGACCACAUCCUGAGCCUGACCCUGAGGAGCUGAGUGCCUUUACUGAUCUGUAUGGUUCCCUCAGAUUACUUCUGUUCUGUCAGAUGAACAGUGAAAGGUUUUUCAUUCCAGAGGAGCACGCUCGUUUAGAGACGUUUUUGCACACAUUCAGUUUGGCAAAUGCAGAGAUCGAAAUUCAUCUUAAAUUUAAAUUCAGCCAGAGCAUCCUCCGACAGGAAUUUAGGUAAAACUACUAUAGUUAACUAUAUUCAUGUGCGUAUGACCUCAGUAGUCCAAAAUACUGACUAUAUAUUGUAAAGUUAAUUUUGUUAAUUGUAACCUAACACGGCAAAGCAGUAGAUCUUGAAUAGCAGUAUACUUUGUUUUUGGGUUUUGU